GACAGGGGAUGCAAGCGUUAUCCGGAAUGAUUGGGCGUAAAGCGUCUGUAGGUGUCUUUUUAAGUCUGCCGUCAAAUCCCAGGGCUCAACCCUGGCCAGGCGGUGGAGACUACUAAGCUGGAGUACGGUAGGGGCAGAGGGAAUUUCCGGUGGAGCGGUGAAAUGCGUAGAUAUCAGGAAGAACACCAGUGGCGUAGGCGACUAACUGGGCCGUAACUGACGCUGAGGAACGAAAGCCAGGGGAGCGAAUGGG
rnacentral:rRNA from 1 species